CUCGCAGACGGCGACACGAGGCCGCGCGAUGCCCGCCCGGCCCGGCACCCGCAGUACAACCUUUGUGGAGCAGUUUGAGUUCUACAUACUAAAAGGUGUCAGUGCAGCAAGGAUUGCGCUCAUGCAUCAGAAGAGGAAUGGGGAUCAAAAGCUUGAACGUCGUUUAGCAGGGAUCUCUCACCUGCUUCCAAGAAAGGCUGCUUUUUUGAAAAUGUACCGGCCUACAACAUGUGCCUUCUUAAUUUUGAACUCUCAGCAAUGAAGACCAAGAAAACUGAAUCAUCAAAUCAUUGAACCAUGGAAUCAUUCACGUUGGAAAAGACCUCUGAGAUCAUCCAGUCCAACCAUCAACCCACCCCCACCGUGCCCACUGCCCAUGUCCCAUGGUGCCACAUCCCCACAGCUCUGGGACACCUCCAGGACAGUGGCCCCACCACUCCCUGGGCAGCUGUGCCACUGCCUCACCGCUCUUUGGGAGAAGGAAUUGUUCCUAACAGCCAACCUGAAUCUGCCCUGGCACAACGUCAGGCCAUUCGCUCUCAUCCUAUUGAAGGAGUUUAAGCACAAUUCCUUCAGUCUUUGUCUGCCUGGUAUGGGACUGCUCCAAUCACAAAGAACUUCUAGUGGUGUGAGAUUCAGAAGGAAUCUGGCAAAAAAAGGCAGAGACAGCCAAAACCAGAUUUUAGUGACUACAAGCAUGGACUGUGGUUUCUUCAGAACUCCACUCUCAGCCAUCCUCUCCUAACAUACAACUUACAAACUGCACACAAAACAUGCCUAAGUAUCACAGAAGCCCAAAGUCUUGUCAGCAGUGUUGUCAACAUUUUGCCUGUGUGCAGGCAAAUAGAAUCCACAGUUCCUCCAUCACUUUCAAAAUGGGAGUUGAUAAGCUAUAUUUGCUAACUGGAAAGGUGAAUCUAUUGCUGAAUGCAGUUUCCUUAGCCCUCUAUUGAUGCCUUUCCACAAUUCACUAGCAAUGUUCAUCAGAACAAGGCAAGCAUGAAACUGCAGCUUGGAAAAUUCUGGCAUAGAAGAGAAAUGUAUGCUUAUCUAUUUAUAAAUAAAGUCUGAAGCUAGCUUUACUGAUCAUCCUAUAAAUAGUUACUUGCCAAAAUCCAAAGUAAUGAAUCUGCUAAUUCACCCAAAGAAGUGAACCCGAUACCUCAUGCAUUCUUGCUCCUUAUCCAAAGCAGCACUUUCCUGCAAAGUAUUGCUUCUGCCUUAUCAAUGCAGUGUUUCUUAAAUGCUUUUUGAAACUUAUGUGCUUGGAUGCAAGGCCCAAAUACUGUUUUUGAAUGAGGGAAAAAAAAACUAAAGUUUGCAGUAAGGAUGCGAAGCUAAGUCUUCUUUCCCCAAGGCUGUACCUGGCAAUACUAACUUAACCAC
ensembl:lncRNA